ACCUGGGUGGCUUAGUCUGUUAAGCAUCUGACUCUGGCUCAGGUCAUGAUCUCACGGUUUGUGGGUUCGAGCCCCAUGUCAGGCU
rnacentral:tRNA from 1 species